AAUCAACGCUGGCGGCGUGCCUAACACAUGCAAGUCGCACGAGAAAGGGGAGCAAUCCCUGAGUAAAGUGGCGCACGGGUGAGUAACACGUGAAUCAUCUACCUCCGAGUGGGGAAUAACUGAGAGAAAUCUUAGCUAAUACCGCAUAACACUUACGAGUCAAAGCAGCAAUGCGCUUGGAGAGGAGUUCGCGGCCGAUUAGUUAGUUGGCGGGGUAAUGGCCCACCAAGACGAUGAUCGGUAUCCGGCCUGAGAGGGCGCACGGACACACUGGAACUGAAACACGGUCCAGACUCCUACGGGAGGCAGCAGUGGGGAAUUUUGCGCAAUGGGGGAAACCCUGACGCAGCAACGCCGCGUGGAGGAUGAAGUAUCUUGGUACGUAAACUCCUUUCGAUUGGGAAGAUAAUGACGGUACCAAUAGAAGAAGCCCCGGCUAACUUCGUGCCAGCCGCCGCAGUAAC
rnacentral:rRNA from 1 species